CCUCAUGAGUUUGGAUUUUUUUACCAAACGCGCUCACAAAAGGAGGUAUUUGGACAUAAAUGAUGGACUUUAUCGAACAAAACAAACAUUUAUUGUGGAACUGGGAUUCCUGGGAGUGCAUUCUGAUGAAGAUCAUCAAAGGCCGGUGGUGGCUGGUUCACUGCAAUGCAGCAAUGAAGGGUCCAAGACGUCCUCCACCGGCACCCAGCAUCUCCGGACCGUACCCCUCCCACUCUUCUAUGACUAACGAGAACAGAGCAGGAGAUAUUGGACAGCCUUGACUACAGCCCCUCCCGAUAGGAACUCUUUCUGAUAAUUUACCAUUUGCAUUAACUGCCACUGAUGGGUC
ensembl:lncRNA